rnacentral:lncRNA from 1 species
GUUGGGUUGUUGCCAUUGCAUGUGCAGCAAAUGGUUGGCACCAACCAUUGACUAUUGGCAGCCACCAUUUUCAAUGGUUAGGCAACCUACCAUGCCUAACCUUGCAGCCAUGUUUGACAGCAGAACAAGUGGAACAGCUGCCAUGAAAUGCCUAUAAAUAGAGGCAUUAUGUGAGAGCAAAAUGAGUGUAAGAGAGGUGUGAGAAUGUGAAGAGUAUAGAGAGAAAGUGGAGAGCUGCAAUGGCAGCAAGGCUGCUGCCAUUGCAGCAGCUGCAAGUGCAGCAAAAGAGCUGGGAGUUGAGUUUGAGUGAAGUGAUCCUCCUCCUCCAUGUAUGUUGUAAUCCUUUCUCUAUAUCUCUAAUAAUAUGGACUCUCUCCCGUGGAUGUAGGCGGUUUUGCCGAACCACGUAAAAUAUUGUGCAGUGUGCUUUACCCUCCUAUGAGCAAAUAUCAGUACACGGAAAGCUGACCCUCCAUCAAUCCAAAUUGAAGAACUCUUGUCUAGCCCAAAAAGAAUAAGAGUAAAGCUAAUAUAUAUUCCCUGAGAAACUAGAGGAAAAGCAGUAACAACAAGAUGCAAAUCUUACAAUUCUUGCUUCUCCAUUAGUAAAAAUAUUAGCUAACCAGUUUACAACUUCUAGUUCCGGUUUUUAAUAUCCAUUUUAAUUUCAAUUCUUUGUUUACAUAGUAAAGAAAAAAAAAGCAUUGAAGUUUAAAUAGCGAUG